rnacentral:lncRNA from 1 species
UUUUUAGUAGAGACGGGGUUUCACCAUGUUACCUAGGGUGGUCUCGGCUAGUGUCGAUCUCCUGACCUCAUGAUCUGCCCACCUCGGCCUCCCAAAGUGCUGGGAUUAUAGGCGUGAGACACCGCGCCUGGCCUCUUCUCCUUCUGAAGAAAGGAACAACUGUAUCUUAUAUUUGCCACACAGUAUUUGUUUCUUCAGCUCCACAAAGGUCUGACAAAUGGUGGGACCUCACCUGUUCUGAUGGGGGCUCCCAUUUCUGCCCCUUCUGGAGGACCAGGAGCACUGUAUUGCCUGCCAGAGCUUGGAAGGGAGGACUCUUCUUCUGUCUCUACAGUUGUGCCAUCUUCCUCCAGCACCAGGAAGAAGGGCUUGUCUGCCAGCAUCAGAGUGCCCUGGUCCUGGGGAAUAAGGGUCUUGACUGUUGCCCAAGCUGGAAUGCAGUGGCACAGUCACUGCUCACUGUAGCCUUGACUCUGGAGCUCCACUGAUGCCCCCACCUCUCUGUGCAGCUGUGUGACCUCAGAUCCUGAAGAUCUUCGUGGACAAUCUCUUUGCUAUCGUCCUGCUGAAGCAGGCCACAGCUGUGCGCUGCUUGGACAUGAGUGCCUCCCGUAAGAAGCUGGCCGUGGUAGAUGAAAAUGACACUUGCCUGGUGUAUGACAUCGACACCAAGGAGCUGCUUUUUCAGGAACCAAACGCCAACAGUGUGGCCUGGAACACCCAGUGUGAGGACAUGCUCUGCUUCUCGGGAGGAGGCAACCUCAACAUCAAAGCCAGCAUCUUCCCUGUGCACUGGCAGAAGCUGCAGGGCUUUGUGGUCGGCUACAAUGGCUCCAAGAUCUUCUGCCUCCACGUCUUCAUUUCUGCCGUGGAGGUGCCACAGGUAACUGGGAGCACCUGUCCACUCUCAGCACUGGCAAGGCCAGUAAGACCAGGGAAGCCGGGCCCCUGGCUGGUGCUUUGAGGAGAGAGUAGCAAGGAGAGAAGAAUGGCAGCUGUGAUGUCGUGGGAGGCAGUCUGGGCUUGGAACCUGCAGCCCUAUCUCCACUCCUUGCAACCUGUGUGACUGGGGGCAAGGAGCUCAACCUCCCUGUGCCUCAAUUUCUUCCUGGUCCCCCUUCUGGUAAGGAUUCAGAGGGGUAUACAGUGUUGUCAGCAGAGUGUAUUUUACAGAGAGCCCAGUGUGGGCCAAGUGGAGAGAGCAGCAAAGCCGGGAGUCCAGCAGGGUGUGUGUGUGUGAGCACAUGUGUGAUGGUGGUGAUGUGUGUGUGAGAGAGGGGGAAGAGAGAGAGAAUGAGUGGGUGGGGGGGGUGAGGCCUGAGGUCUGUGAGCCAAUAAGGGAGCAUGGGACUCUGCACAAGCCCCCUGAACUAGGAGGUGGCCACAGCAGAAAUGGGGCACUGAAGUGUGGAGCCACAGAAUGCGGGAGGGCAGAACCACAGACAGGAGGCUGAGAUUGACCUCCUGAGUGCAAGCUGGUCUCCCCUUCACCUCCUGCACCCCACGCAGAUGGUGCUUACCAUAGGAUUGCCGUAAAACAGAGACACGCACCAGCGAGAAACUUUAGCCCUUAGUAUCCCAUCCUCAGGACAGAAUCACUCUUAAACAUGUUGAAAUACAUCUGCUUAGAGCUUUUCUAUGUGUCUAUAUAAUGUAUGCAUAAUAUACAAUUAGAAGCAUGUGAUUUUAUAACAUUUUUAAACAAAAGUGGAAUCACACUGCAAAUACUGUUUCAUGACUUUUAUGUGUGUAAGUAUUGCUACCUAUAGAUGGAACCUCAGAUUUACUGUAUUCCCCAAGCCUGGACUGUAAACAAGACUUCUCAUCCCUUCCUCUAUGGCCAUCUUCUCAUUUCACCUCACAUUUGGUUAUGACAGCCCCAUCACUGUCUAUGAAGUGCUGGCUGUAAACUCGUCAUCUGGCCUUUUCACUCAGCAAUCUCCUGAAGCAUGGUUCUGUGUCAGUAAAUGUUCUUAUCCAGCAUGGCAAAA